UACGUAGGGUGCAAGCGUUGUCCGGAAUUAUUGGGCGUAAAGAGCUCGUAGGCGGUCUGUUACGUCGGCUGUGAAAACCUGGGGCUCAACCCCGGGCCUGCAACCGAUACGGGCAGACUAGAAUUCGGUAGGGGAGACUGGAAUUCCCGGUGUAGUGGUGAAAUGCGUAGAUAUCGGGAGGAACACCAGUGGCGAAGGCGACUACCUGGCCUGUUCUUGACGCUGAGGCGCGAAAGCUAGGGGAGCAAACGGG
rnacentral:rRNA from 1 species